rnacentral:rRNA from 1 species
GACGAACGCUGGCGGCGUGCUUAACACAUGCAAGUCGAACGGUAAGGCUCCAGCUUGCUGGGGUACACGAGUGGCGAACGGGUGAGUAACACGUGGGUGACCUGCCCUGCACUUCGGGAUAAGCCUGGGAAACUGGGUCUAAUACCGGAUAGGACCAUGGUGUGGAUACUGUGGUGGAAAGUUUUUUCGGUGUGGGAUGGGCCCGCGGCCUAUCAGCUUGUUGGUGGGGUAAUGGCCUACCAAGGCGGCGACGGGUAGCCGGCCUGAGAGGGUGGACGGCCACAUUGGGACUGAGACACGGCCCAGACUCCUACGGGAGGCAGCAGUGGGGAAUAUUGCACAAUGGGCGGAAGCCUGAUGCAGCGACGCCGCGUGGGGGAUGACGGCCUUCGGGUGGUAAACUCCUUUCACCAUCGACGAAGGGUUUCUGACGGUAGAUGGAGAAGAAGCACCGGCGAACUACGG